rnacentral:rRNA from 1 species
CAGACCAAGGAGUCCAACAUGUGCGCGAGUCUAAGGGUUGAAUAAACCCGGAGGCGAAAUGAAAGUGAGCUCCUUGAGUGGGGCAGGCCGAUCCCUGGUUCCGAGCCCGGGCCGUGGCGGGGUGGGCGGGCGAAACCUCCUGAUGGGGGGGAUUUGCCUGCCGCCUUUGCKGCGGCUUUGGGCGAGGGGCCGGCCCCCUUUUCGGAGGGGGUUCUCGGGGCGCAGGCCGAGGACUUGCCUGAGUGCGGCGCGGGCAACGGGUUCCUCUGCCCCUGCGGGGGCGGGGGUUCCUCAUCCCGACGUCCGCCGGCAAGUACCUGAGAGCGCAGCCGUUGGGACCCGAAAGAUGGUGAACUAUGCCUGGCGAGGACGAAGCCAGAGGAAACUCUGGUGGAGGUCCGAAGCAGUUCUGACGUGCAAAUCGAUUGUCAGAGCUGGGUAUAGGGGCGAAAGACUAAUCGAACCAUCUAGUAGCUGGUUCCCUCCGAAGUUUCCCUCAGGAUAGCUGGCAUUGAUUUGAUGAGUUUCAUCCGGUAAAGCGAAUGAUUAGAGGCCGUGGUGGUGCAAUGCCGUCAACCUAUUCUCAAACUUUAAAUGGGUGAGCUGUAGAGCUUGCUUGAAAUGUGAAGCUGUAUAAUUGAUUGAAUCAGAAUGCCUA